rnacentral:rRNA from 1 species
AAUCCAUAGGUUAAUGAGGCGAACCGGGGGAACUGAAACAUCUAAGUACCCCGAGGAAAAGAAAUCAACCGAGAUUCCCCCAGUAGCGGCGAGCGAACGGGGAGGAGCCCAGAGCCUGAAUCAGCAUGUGUGUUAGUGGAAGCGUCUGGAAAGGCGCGCGAUACAGGGUGACAGCCCCGUACACAAAAGCGCAUGUGCUGUGAGCUCGAUGAGUAGGGCGGGACACGUGGUAUCCUGUCUGAAUAUGGGGGGACCAUCCUCCAAGGCUAAAUACUCCUGACUGACCGAUAGUGAACCAGUACCGUGAGGGAAAGGCGAAAAGAACCCCGGCGAGGGGAGUGAAAAAGAACCUGAAACCGUGUACGUACAAGCAGUGGGAGCCCCACCACCAAAGCAUUCUCUGGUGUUGAAGGCCCUGCAAAGCAGCAUCGCGGUGGCGGAGCGUCGUUUGCGACGCCCAACACACAAAACAAGCGGUGAGUGCUUUGGGGUGGGGUGACUGCGUACCUUUUGUAUAAUGGGUCAGCGACUUAUAUUCUGUAGCAAGGUUAACCGAAUAGGGGAGCCGGAGGGAAACCGAGUCUUAAUUGGGCGU